UUCCCGGCUCCUGGGCAGUGGGGAAGCCCCCGGGGGCGGGUGACCUCAGCUGGCCACGACCCAGCCCUCCCCUGAGCGUAUUUCGCUUAAGAUGGCAGCGGAGUCAGGGGAACUAAUCGGGGCUUGCGAGUUCAUGAAAGAUCGAUUAUAUUUUGCUACUUUAAGGAAUAGACCAAAAAGCACAGUAAAUACCCACUAUUUCUCCAUCGAUGAGGAGCUGGUCUAUGAAAAUUUCUAUGCAGAUUUUGGGCCUCUGAACUUGGCAAUGGUGUACAGAUACUGCUGUAAACUAAACAAGAAACUUAAACCAAAGAAAAUUUUCAAGAAUAUCCCUUUCCUGAGAAAGUUGGAGUCAUACAGCUUAUCGAGAAAGAAAAUAGUGCACUACACCUGUUUUGACCAACGGAAAAGAGCAAACGCAGCGUUUUUGAUAGGUGCUUAUGCUGUAAUCUACUUAAAGAAGACACCUGAAGAAGCCUACAGAGCACUCCUGUCUGGCUCCAAUCCCCCCUAUCUUCCAUUCAGGGAUGCUUCCUUUGGAAAUUGCACAUACAAUCUCACCAUCCUCGACUGUUUACAGGGAAUCAGAAAGGGAUUGCAACAUGGAUUUUUUGACUUUGAGACAUUUGAUGUGGAGGAAUAUGAACAUUAUGAGCGAGUUGAAAAUGGUGACUUCAACUGGAUUGUUCCAGGAAAAUUUUUAGCAUUUAGUGGACCACAUCCUAAAAGCAAAAUUGAAAAUGGUUACCCUCUUCAUGCCCCUGAAGCCUACUUCCCUUAUUUCAAAAAGCAUAACGUAACUGCAGUUGUGAGACUGAACAAAAAGAUUUAUGAGGCGAAGCGCUUCACAGACGCUGGCUUCGAGCACUAUGACCUCUUCUUCAUAGACGGCAGCACACCCAGUGAGAACAUCGUGCGAAGGUUCCUGAACAUCUGUGAGAACACCGAAGGAGCGAUUGCGGUCCACUGCAAAGCUGGCCUUGGAAGGACAGGGACGUUGAUAGCCUGUUAUGUAAUGAAGCACUACAGGUUUACACACGCCGAAAUCAUCGCUUGGAUAAGAAUUUGCCGGCCAGGCUCCAUCAUUGGGCCCCAGCAGCACUUCCUGGAGGAAAAACAAGCAUCAUUGUGGGUACAAGGAGACAUUUUCCGAUCCAAACUGAAAAAUAGACCAUCCAGUGAAGGAAGUAUUAAUAAAAUUCUUUCUAGCUUGGAUGAUAUGUCUAUUAGUGGAAGCUUAUCGAAAAUACAAAACAUGGAAAGAUUUGGAGAGAAUAAUUUAGAAGAAGAUGAAGAUGUGGAAAUGAAAAAUAAUAUAACCCAGGGAGACAAACUACGUGCCUUAAAAAGUCAGAGACAGCCACGCUCCUCACCGACCUAUGCAUUUAGGUCUGAUGAUGUGAAAGGGCUCCCGAGAGCAGUUGUGUCCCAACCUUUCAGAUUAAGUUCUUCCCAACAAGGAUCUGUGUCUACUUUGAAGACUUCAAAAGUGGCUUUGUCCCCUUCAGCAACGGCCAAGAGGAUAAGCAGAGGUUCAUCUUCAGGCACCAGCGUGAGAAGCUUUUCCAUAAACUCCCGGCUAGCCAGUUCUCUAGGGAACUUGAAUGCUGCGUCAGAUGAUCCCGAGAACAAAAAGACCUCCUCAUCCUCUAAGGCAGGUUUCACAGCCAGCCCGUUCACCAACCUCUUGAAUGGCAGCUCCCAGCCACCUGCCAGAAAUUACCCUGAGCUCAACAACAACCAGUACAACAGAAGCAACAGCAGCAGCAGCAGUGGGGGCAACCUCAACAGCCACCUGGGCCCUCACAGCACCAAGACCGAGGAGCAUGCCACCAUCCUCCGGCCCUCCUACACCGGGCUUUCUUCCUCUUCAGCAAGAUAUCUGAGCCGUUCUAUCCCUGUAAGUUCGCAGACAUCACCUCUUGGUCCUCAGAACCCUGAAUGCAACUUUUGUGCCUUGCCUUCCCAGCCAAGGUUGCCAUCAAAGAAAUUUAAUAGUGCCAAUGAAGCCUUCUGAUCAGCGCCUGCCCUCUGUGCUGUGAAACCCUAUGCACCACUUCUGCUGGCUCCUCUUCAAUCCCUUCAGUCUGAAUAUGUUCCUUACUAAGGCCUUGCUGCUCGAUGGAAGCUGUUCCUUCUUAGACAUCUGGACAAGCGAUGCGGAGGAGGGCACCAGCUUGCUGGAAGGAUGUCUCUGCCUUCUUACCUUAAAUUAGAGAGAGCACUAAGAUAACACCUUCAAAAGACUUGAAACCAGACAGCUGGUUAAUGACUACUGUAAAUGCACUGAAACUAUGUUUAUGGAGAUUUCAACACUUUUUAUGACAGUUUUAAUGUUGAAUUUGGUAUUUUGAAAGCUAUUUUUAAUGUAUUUCGGUAAUACAUUUGUUAUUACAUUUACAUGUACAGUGUUACAUUAUGUAUGUAUUGUGAACUUCAAAAGACUAUUUUGAUAAAUUUAUAAAUGUAUAAAAUUAUGUAAAAACUAGACUAUAUUUUGAUUUAGAUUUUUCCUGUUGUUUGCUACCAAAAAUUUGUAUUCUACACUUAGUUUUAGUAUGGUCUUGUCUUCAAUGAAUUAAUAAUUCCUCUCUAUUAAGAAAAAGAAAGGGAGAAAGUUUUUAGGAAGUGGUUUUUAUGUUCCCACUGUGAAUAUGACAGAUCAAUUGUGUUCUUUGGGGAUGUCAGUCUAAUUUAAAGAGUUCCUCCAAGUUUAUUUCUACCAAGAGUAGAAUCGUUUGAUAUGGCUUAUUUAGGACAAAACCCUUCUCCUUCAUUUUUGUUCUUUGAACCAUUGAGAUUAGUUUUGUAUCCUUGGAAGCUUAAAAAAAAUAACAACAUCCAGUUGAAGAUUAGAAUCUUCAUUUCAGGAUGUUUCUCCUGAAAGCAUGCUUUUUCUCUGAAAUGA